GCAACAGGCCUUUAUGUGGUUAAUGUUUCAGCACCUCUAGGUUUCUGGGUUUAUGUCCUCUAUGAGGUCACUUGUUCCUCAAAUGUAGCAUACUGGAUUGAUAUUAAAGAAUGGGCUGCUAUGAGGUCACUGGCUCAGCACAUAUGACAUGCUAGGUUGGUAAUGGUGAAAGCACUGACAUAGAGUUCCGGCUACAGCACUUCCAGGCUCCUGGCUGAAGCCAAGCGGGACUUUGUCAAGAUACUAGCUCGGUACCUCCAUCUUCCUAGCAUGAGUCUGGACACAGGCCUCAGGUCUCUGGCACAGAACCACUACUUUGCUGGGGCCAGUGAACAUCCAGGAAGUUCUAGAGUCUCUUCUUUGACUGUGAAUGCUUUGGAGAAGCACAAGGACAGCAAGACUACCUUGGGAUUUAUGAAAGAUGGAGUACUUUGGGGCUGAAUGCCACAUCAGUUCAAAAGACCACCUUGUCCAAAUGGAACACACAGUACUUAUUCUAUUGAGAGGUUUCCUUAUUCUGAGACUUGCCUGGUCAGAUGUAAUAAAGGCAUGACAGGA